rnacentral:rRNA from 1 species
CGAAUGCUGACAUAAGUAACGAUAAAGCGGGUGAAAAGCCCGCUCGCCGGAAGACCAAGGGUUCCUGUCCAACGUUAAUCGGGGCAGGGUGAGUCGACCCCUAAGGCGAGGCCGAAAGGCGUAGUCGAUGGGAAACAGGUUAAUAUUCCUGUACUUGGUGUUACUGCGAAGGGGGGACGGAGAAGGCUAUGUUGGCCGGGCGACGGUUGUCCCGGUUUAAGCGUGUAGGCUGGUUUUCCAGGCAAAUCCGGAAAAUCAAGGCUGAGGCGUGAUGACGAGGCACUACGGUGCUGAAGCAACAAAUGCCCUGCUUCCAGGAAAAGCCUCUAAGCAUCAGGUAACAUCAAAUCGUACCCCAAACCGACACAGGUGGUCAGGUAGAGAAUACCAAGGCGCUUGAGAGAACUCGGGUGAAGGAACUAGGCAAAAUGGUGCCGUAACUUCGGGAGAAGGCACGCUGAUAUGUAGGUGAAGCGACUUGCUCGUGGAGCUGAAAUCAGUCGAAGAUACCAGCUGGCUGCAACUGUUUAUUAAAAACACAGCACUGUGCAAACACGAAAGUGGACGUAUACGGUGUGACGCCUGCCCGGUGCCGGAAGGUUAAUUGAUGGGGUUAGCGCAAGCGAAGCUCUUGAUCGAAGCCCCGGUAAACGGCGGCCGUAACUAUAACGGUCCUAAGGUAGCGAAAUUCCUUGUCGGGUAAGUUCCGACCUGCACGAAUGGCGUAAUGAUGGCCAGGCUGUCUCCACCCGAGACUCAGUGAAAUUGAACUCGCUGUGAAGAUGCAGUGUACCCGCGGCAAGACGGAAAGACCCCGUGAACCUUUACUAUAGCUUGACACUGAACAUUGAGCCUUGAUGUGUAGGAUAGGUGGGAGGCUUUGAAGUGUGGACGCCAGUCUGCAUGGAGCCGACCUUGAAAUACCACCCUUUAAUGUUUGAUGUUCUAACGUUGACCCGUAAUCCGGGUUGCGGACAGUGUCUGGUGGGUAGUUUGACUGGGGCGGUCUCCUCCUAAAGAGUAACGGAGGAGCACGAAGGUUGGCUAAUCCUGGUCGGACAUCAGGAGGUUAGUGCAAUGGCAUAAGCCAGCUUGACUGCGAGCGUGACGGCGCGAGCAGGUGCGAAAGCAGGUCAUAGUGAUCCGGUGGUUCUGAAUGGAAGGGCCAUCGCUCAACGGAUAAAAGGUACUCCGGGGAUAACAGGCUGAUACCGCCCAAGAGUUCAUAUCGACGGCGGUGUUUGGCACCUCGAUGUCGGCUCAUCACAUCCUGGGGCUGAAGUAGGUCCCAAGGGUAUGGCUGUUCGCCAUUUAAAGUGGUACGCGAGCUGGGUUUAGAACGUCGUGAGACAGUUCGGUCCCUAUCUGCCGUGGGCGCUGGAGAACUGAGGGGGGCUGCUCCUAGUACGAGAGGACCGGAGUGGACGCAUCACUGGUGUUCGGGUUGUCAUGCCAAUGGCACUGCCCGGUAGCUAAAUGCGGAAGAGAUAAGUGCUGAAAGCAUCUAAGCACGAAACUUGCCCCGAGAUGAGUUCUCCCUGACUCCUUGAGAGUCCUGAAGGAACGUUGAAGACGACGACGUUGAUAGGCCGGGUGUGUAAGCGCAGCGAUGCGUUGAGCUAACCGGUACUAAUGAACCGUGAGG